CACGUAGGGCGCAAGCGUUGUCCGGAAUUAUUGGGCGUAAAGAGCUCGUAGGUGGUUUGUUACGUCUGCUGUGAAAUCCUAGGGCUUAACCCUGGGCUUGCAGUGGAUACGGGCAGACUAGAGGUAGGUAGGGGAGAAUGGAAUUCCUGGUGUAGCGGUGAAAUGCGCAGAUAUCAGGAGGAACACCGGUGGCGAAGGCGGAUCUCUGGGCCAUUACUGACGCUGAGGAGCGAAAGCGUGGGGAGCGAACAGG
rnacentral:rRNA from 1 species